rnacentral:rRNA from 1 species
GAUGAACGCUGGCGGCGUGCCUAAUACAUGCAAGUCGAGCGAACGGACGAGAAGCUUGCUUCUCUGAUGUUAGCGGCGGACGGGUGAGUAACACGUGGAUAACCUACCUAUAAGACUGGGAUAACUUCGGGAAACCGGAGCUAAUACCGGAUAAUAUUUUGAACCGCAUGGUUCAAAAGUGAAAGACGGUCUUGCUGUCACUUAUAGAUGGAUCCGCGCUGCAUUAGCUAGUUGGUAAGGUAACGGCUUACCAAGGCAACGAUGCAUAGCCGACCUGAGAGGGUGAUCGGCCACACGGGAACUGAGACACGGACCAGACUCCUACGGGAGGCAGCAGUAGGGAAUCUUCCGCAAUGGGCGAAAGCCUGACGGAGCAACGCCGCGUGAGUGAUGAAGGUCUUCGGAGCGUAAAACUCUGUUAUUAGGGAAGAACAUAUGUGUAAGUAACUGUGCACAGCUUGACGGUACCUAAUCAGAAAGCCACGGCUAACUACGUG